GACGAACGCUGGCGGCGUGCUUAACACAUGCAAGUCGAACGGAAAGGCCCUGCUUUUGUGGCGUUCUCGAGUGGCGAACGGGUGAGUAACACGUGAGUAACCUGCCCUUGACUUUGGGAUAACUUCAGGAAACUGGGGCUAAUACCGGAUAGGCUCUCCUGCUGCAUGGUGGGGGUUGGAAAUUUUCGGCGGUUCUGGAUGAAAUCGCGGCUUAUCAGCUUCUUGGUGAGGUAGUGGCUUACCAAGGGUAUGACGGAUAGCCGGCCUGAGAGAGUGACCGGCAACAUUGGGCCUGGGGUACGGCCAAGAGUCCAACGGGAGGGAGAAGUGGGAAAUAUGGCGGAAUGGGAGGAGGCCUGAUGCGAAAACGCCACGUGCGGAAUGAAGGGUUUCGAGUUAUAAACCGAUUUGGACUGAGACGAAGAGUGAGUGACGGUAAUGGGUAAGAAAGCACCGGCUAACUACGUG
rnacentral:rRNA from 1 species